ACCCUGGUAGUCCACGCCGUAAACGAUGAUUACUAGGUGUGGGGGGACUGACCCCUUCCGUGCCGGAGUUAACACAAUAAGUAAUCCACCUGGGGAGUACGACCGCAAGGUUGAAACUCAAAGGAAUUGACGGGGGCCCGCACAAGCAGUGGAGUAUGUGGUUUAAUUCGAAGCAACGCGAAGAACCUUACCAGGUCUUGACAUCGAGUGACGGAUACAGAGAUGUAUCCUUCCUUCGGGACACGAAGACAGGUGGUGCAUGGUUGUCGUCAGCUCGUGUCGUGAGAUGUUGGGUUAAGUCCCGCAACGAGCGCAACCCUUAUCAUUAGUUGCUACGCAAGAGCACUCUAGUGAGACUGCCGUGGAUAACACGGAGGAAGGUGGGGAUGACGUCAAAUCAUCAUGCCCUUUAUGACCUGGGCUACACACGUACUACAAUGGCACUCAAACAGAGGGAAGCGACACCGCGAGGUGAAGCAAAUCCCGAAAAAGUGUCUCAGUUCGGAUUGCAGGCUGCAACUCGCCUGCAUGAAGUCGGAAUUGCUAGUAAUCGCGGAUCAGCAUGCCGCGGUGAAUACGUUCCCGGGCCUUGUACACACCGCCCGUCACACCAUGAGAGCCGGUAACACCCGAAGUCAGUAGCCUAACCGCGAGGGGGGCGCUGCCGAAGGUGGGAUUGGUAAUUGGGGUGAAGUCGUAACAAAGUAGCCGUAUCGGAAGGUGCGGCUGGAUCACCUC
rnacentral:rRNA from 1 species